UACGUUCCCGGGCCUUGUACACACCGCCCGUCAAGCGAUGGAAGUCGGGAGUACCUGAAGUCAAUUACCGCAAGGAGUUGCCUAGGGUAAAACCGAUGACUGGCGCU
rnacentral:rRNA from 1 species